rnacentral:rRNA from 1 species
UACAGAGGUCCCAAGCGUUGUUCGGAUUCACUGGGCGUAAAGGGUGCGUAGGCGGUCGGGUAAGUCUGAUGUGAAAUCUCACAGCUUAACUGUGAAACUGCAUUGGAUACUAUCCGGCUCGAGGAAUGGAGGGGAGACUGGAAUACUUGGUGUAGCAGUGAAAUGCGUAGAUAUCAAGUGGAACACCAGUGGCGAAGGCGAGUCUCUGGGCCGAUACUGACGCUGAGGAGCGAAAGCGUGGGGAGCGAACAGG